GGGGCAAUAGCUCAGUGGUAGAGCUCCCGCUUGGUACGCGGGAAGGCCUGGGCUGCUUUCCCA
rnacentral:tRNA from 1 species